rnacentral:rRNA from 1 species
UAGGGAAUCUUCCACAAUGGACGCAAGUCUGAUGGAGCAACGCCGCGUGAGUGAAGAAGGUCUUCGGAUCGUAAAGCUCUGUUGUUGGUGAAGAAGGAUAGAGGCAGUAACUGGUCUUUAUUUGACGGUAAUCAACCAGAAAGUCACGGCUAACUACGUGCCAGCAGCCGCGGUAAUACGUAGGUGGCAAGCGUUGUCCGGAUUUAUUG